rnacentral:rRNA from 1 species
UGGGGAAUAUUGCACAAUGGGCGCAAGCCUGAUGCAGCCAUGCCGCGUGUAUGAAGAAGGCCUUCGGGUUGUAAAGUACUUUCAGUCGGGAGGAAGGUGUCAAGGUUAAUAACCUUGGCAAUUGACGUUACCGACAGAAGAAGCACCGGCUAACUCCGUGCCAGCAGCCGCGGUAAUACGGAGGGUGCAAGCGUUAAUCGGAAUUACUGGGCGUAAAGCGCACGCAGGCGGUUGAUUGAGUCAGAUGUGAAAUCCCCGGGCUUAACCUGGGAACUGCAUUCGAAACUGGCAGGCUAGAGUCUUGUAGAGGGGGGUAGAAUUCCAGGUGUAGCGGUGAAAUGCGUAGAGAUCUGGAGGAAUACCGGUGGCGAAGGCGGCCCCCUGGACAAAGACUGACGCUCAGGUGCGAAAGCGUGGGGAGCAAACAGG